rnacentral:rRNA from 1 species
AUUGAACGCUGGCGGCAGGCCUAACACAUGCAAGUCGAACGAGUGGCGGACGGGUGAGUAAUGUCUGGGAAACUGCCUGAGGGCGGGGGGUAACUACUGGAAACGGUAGCUAAUACCGAAUACCAUCAACUGUGCCCAGAUUGGAGUAGCUAGUUGGUGGGGUAACGGCUCACCAAGGCGACGAUCCCUAGCUGGUCGGAGAGGAUCACCAGCCACACUGGAACUGAGACACGGUCCAGACUCCUACGGUAGUCAGCAGUGGGGAAUAUUGCACAAUGGGCGCAAGCCUGAUGCAGCCAUGCCGCGUGUAUGAAGAAGGCCUUCGGGUUUUAAAGUACUUUCAGCGGGGAGGCGUUACCCGCAGAAGAAGCACCGGCUAACUCCGUGCCAGCAGCCGCGGUAAUUC